rnacentral:lncRNA from 1 species
CUUGUGUAUUGUUAUCUUUUACUAAAUUUUGUAAUUGCUAAAUAUUCUGCUUUGGUAAAAUGUAAUUUGUGAUCUGUAGUUCAUACUGGUAAAUUGUGUUUGCACAACCAGAACUACAGACUUUAAUCUUAUUGUCUUCCUACCUUUGCUUAUCCUCCAAAACUUUUAGCCUCAAUGUCAUGCUCAGGAAGAUAGCUUUUCCAAUUUCAUUCCCCUACUGGGUAGUGUGUCCAUAUCUAUUAAAGAGGCUAAUCUGAAGUUUUCCUCUAACCUUGUGUCCUGGCAUGUAUGGAUCACUGCCAUUUUUUCCCUUGAUGCUCUCAGUGACAUAUUUAUUGUGCUGUAAAAAUCAACUAGUUCAGUUUGAUGCAUGAAAAUAUUUCCUCUCUCUCUUCCUGUUGAAGUUUAAGAAGUGGCAAGGUUCUUUCUUUCCUUCUCGGUCAUGUAAGAGAGCUAUGAGGUGCCUUUGGGAUUGUGAUAGGACUUUUGUGUUACUUUGUUUACUUAGAGUAACCACACUUUUUUUUUUUUUUCUUCUUCUUGAGGCUUCAGGAUUUAUCGCAUUUUUGAAGAAAGAAAGGUUGAGCAAUUCAUAUUUUAUGUCCUUGAGUUUGCAGGAAGAUUUAAAACCAUCCUUGGAGAAGCCUGAGGACUGGCAGGACCCACUGAGAACACAGGUUAUACAGUACUGGUCCUUUUCCAGAGUCAGCAUUCACAUUUCAGGAACAGUUGCUGCCAUUUUCAAAGUCUGAUAGCCUCAAGCACAUAUUACAUACAUUUGUUGAAAACAAAGGAAAACUGGAAAAACUGUCUAUCACAAUUUUGCACAGACACAAAAAAAAAUAUCACAAACUUACAGAAAUGCACCAUUUAUCUUUAAAUAUGGUCAGUUGGGAUGGUCAAGUUAUCUAUCACAAGUUCAUUGAAAAUCAAACGAGGAAAGGAAAUUCAAACAAGAGGAAAGGAAUUUAUUUUUUUUUAUUAAAAGAACUUUCUUUGAUGAGCAAUAGAAUCCAUACUGCUCAGACAUCACACAUAAAAUAAAUAUGCAGUAUCUGGACA